UGGUGGAGUGAUUUGUCUGGUUAAUUCCGUUAACGAACGAGACCUCGACCUGCUAAAUAGUACACGGAAACCUUGGUUUCUGUCGCACUUCUUAGAGGGACUAUCGUAUGUAAGACGAUGGAAGUUCGAGGCAAUAACA
rnacentral:rRNA from 1 species